GACGAACGCUGGCGGCGCGCUUAACACAUGGAAGUCGAGCGAGAACCAGUCCUUCGGGACUGGGGACAGCGGCGAACGGGUGAGUAACACGUGAGUAAUCCACCCUCGGCACCGGGAUAGCCCGCGGAAACGCGGAUUAAUACCGGAUGGCCCAUUUGUCCUUCGGGAAUAAAUGGAAAAGGUAGCUUCGGCCUCCGGCCGUGGACGAGCUCGCGGCGGAUUAGCUUGUUGGUGGGGUAACGGCCCACCAAGGCGACGAUCCGUAGCUGGUCUGAGAGGACGAUCAGCCACACUGGGACUGAGACACGGCCCAGACUUCUACGGAAGGCAGCAGUGGGGAAUCUUGCGCAAUGGGCGAAAGCCUGACGCAGCGACGCCGCGUGAGGGAAGAAGGCCUUCGGGUUGUAAACCUCUUUCAGGAGGGACGAAGCUACUCGGGUGAAUAGCCCAGAGGGUGACGGUACCUCCAGAAGAAGCCCCGGCUAACUACGUGCCAGCCGCCGCCGUAAAAC
rnacentral:rRNA from 1 species